rnacentral:rRNA from 1 species
AUCAACUUUCGAUGGUAGGAUAGAGGCCUACCAUGGUGGUAACGGGUAACGGGGUGUUAGGGCACGACACCGGAGAGGGAGCCUGAGAAACGGCUACCACAUCCAAGGAUGGCAGCAGGCGCGCAAAUUACCCAAUCCCGACACGGGGAGGUAGUGACAAUAAAUAACAAUACGGGGUUCUUUCGGAUCUCGUAAUUGGAAUGAGUACAAUUUAAAUCUCUUAACGAGGAACAAUUGGAGGGCAAGUCUGGUGCCAGCAGCCGCGGUAAUUCCAGCUCCAAUAGCGUAUAUUAAAGUUGUUGCAGUUAAAAAGCUCGUAGUUGAAUUUCGGGAUCAAAUUGUCGGUCGUGCCUUGGUACGCACUGGCAUUAUUGGUCCCUACCUUCUGAAGAACCGCGAUGUCAUUAAUUUGGUGUCGUGGGGAAUCAGGACUGUUACUUUGAAAAAAUUAGAGUGUUUAAAGCAGGCGCACGCUUGAAUACAUUAGCAUGGAAUAAUGAAAUAGGACGUUUGAUUCUAUUUUGUUGGUUUCUAGGAUCGACGUAAUGAUUAAUAGGGAUAGUUGGGGGCAUUAGUAUUCAAUUGUCAGAGGUGAAAUUCUUGGAUUUAUUGAAGACUAACGACUGCGAAAGCAUUUGCCAAGGAUGUUUUCAUUAAUCAAGAACGAAAGUUAGGGGAUCGAAGACGAUCAGAUACCGUCGUAGUCUUAACCAUAAACUAUGCCGACUAGGGAUCGGAUGAUGUUAAUUUUUUAAUGACUCAUUCGGCGCCUUACGGGAAACCAAAGUGUUUGGGUUC